rnacentral:rRNA from 1 species
UACGUAGGGGGCGAGCGUUGUCCGGAGUUAUUGGGCGUAAAGGGCACGCAGGCGGUCUCUUAAGUUCGGAGUGACAGUCGUCGGCUUAACUGACGAAGGCCUUGGAAGACUGAGAGACUUGAGGGCUCACGAGGGACACGGAAUUCCGGGUGUAGUGGUGAAAUGCGUAGACAUCCGGAGGAACACCAAAGGCGUAGGCAGUGUCCUGGGGAGUACCUGACGCUCAGGUGCGAAAGCCAGGGGAG